rnacentral:tRNA from 1 species
UUCGAUAGCUCAAUGGGUAGAGCAGCUGACAAAACCUCAGCCUGUCGCGGGUUCGACUCCCGCUCGAA